CAACUUUCAGCAACGGAUCUCUUGGCUCUCGCAUCGAUGAAGAACGCAGCC
rnacentral:rRNA from 1 species